CACUGGGUGAAAUAGGAAGGAUACUUUCCCCCUCUAUUACUAAAUCAAAUCCCUCCUUCUUAAGGCUCUUUCCUGGCAAUCAUUGGUCUCACUUUUCUUUGGGAGGGGAGCUGCCAAGAGAUUGGUCCCCAGCUCGUCAGAUAAAAGGGCCAAGGAAUUGCUGAGAACCUCAGAGUUGGGUGAAACAGGCAAUACACAGGAAAGACCCAGGGCAGAGCCUCCCCCCUCGCUCUGGUCCUUGUACAUUCAGCCAAAGAAACCAGAGCCUGGAGGAAUUUUGUACAUCCCUGGGGUGGAAUCAAGGUUCCAGAUUGAGCACGAGAGCCAAGUAUCACUCACUAUGUCUUCGCACCUUGUCCUGCUUCUCCUGAUGUGCCUGACCCUGGAGAUGGCAGGUUCUGAGAAGGAGGAGCCUGCCCCUCGCUAUGGAAAUAAGCUCUGGUGGUUUUUCUUGAAUGAGAAAGAAGAUUCCGUUCCAUCCCACCAUUUGGUGCAGGAGGAGAAAAGAGGAAAGGCAGGCCAAUUCUAUGGACUGAUGGGGAAACGGGCAAGAGCCCUCUCUGUGGCCUGGGACGAUAAGGACCAAGUGUCAAAGCUGGAACCUUGACCCUACACUACCAAGAAUGAAAACUCCCCCUGUCCCACAUUCCCUAUCACUUGGAGGUCACACCUGAUGAGGCCUUGGUCUGCCAGUCUCCCAGAACCCCCCAAUACAAUCUCCCACUGGCGUUUGACAUUGGCCAUGCACUGACACCAAACUGAUCAUGUCUUUUUUGAGUAUGUGGUACUCUCCUAUCAGAUUGCUAUGUUAAAAUGUGUUGCCAUCUUGUUGAAUGACCUACUUUUUCCCCCUUCAAAUGUCCCCCAAGUCCCUGUUCCCCUGGGGCUUCUUCUCCCUCAAGGCACAAGAUCUGGGGACUUGGUGUAAACUCGCCAAAACCAGUUGGCUCCAUUGUUGCUGCUCCCACCUCCCCUUCAGGGUAAUGGCGAGCCAGCUCUGUUUCCAAGGAGAAAGAAAAGCUGCAAUGGCCUGAACUGUGACUACUUAUUGGUGUGAACUAGCAGGGACCUUAGAGGUCAUCUAUUCCUUUAUUGUACAAAUGAAGAACUGGGGCCAAGAGAAUUGGGGUCAGGUGUCUGCCUUACAAGUCUAGGUAUGGGGGCUGUAAGGUGGCCCAGCAGAUAGAACACCGGGCCUAGAGUUGGGAGGUCCUGGGUUCAAAUUUAACCUCAGACCUUUCCUAGCUGUGUGACCCUGGACAAGUGACUUAAUCCUGUUGGUCUAUUAAAAAAAAAAAAUCUAGGUAUGCCUGGUUAGUUGUGAGACUGUGUUAAGCAUUAUAAGAAGAGAAAUAUUGUAUGGCUGUCACACUCAGAGGAGUUCUGAAUCGGGUCAAGAAUACAAUCCUGCCCUAUCUACCCACCCCUACUCUUCCUACUGCCACCCUCAUGGUCUGAUGAAGAAGACUGUCCCCAACUCUCAAGAGCCAAUGGGACCUGGCAGCCACUGUUUCAGGGAAUCUGCCCAUCAGACAAGGGAGACAACGUGUGAAAUAACUCAAAAACACAUUCUAGGGGCAGAAAGAUGGCUCCAUGGAUUGAGAACC
rnacentral:lncRNA from 1 species